GCAGGAAUGGCGGAAUUGGCAGACGCGGCUGACUUAGGAUCAGUAUUUUGAGAGUUCGAGUCUCUCUUCCUGUA
rnacentral:tRNA from 1 species